GCUAAAGUAGUUUAAAGAUUUAAAAAUAUAAUAUUAGGGGUGUUAAGUUUUUUUUUUAGUG
rnacentral:tRNA from 1 species